rnacentral:rRNA from 1 species
GACGAACGCUGGCGGCGUGCCUAAUACAUGCAAGUUGAGCGCUGAAGGUUGGUACUUGUACCGACUGGAUGAGCAGCGAACGGGUGAGUAACGCGUGGGGAAUCUGCCUUUGAGCGGGGGACAACAUUUGGAAACGAAUGCUAAUACCGCAUAAAAACUUUAAACACAAGUUUUAAGUUUGAAAGAUGCAAUUGCAUCACUCAAAGAUGAUCCCGCGUUGUAUUAGCUAGUUGGUGAGGUAAAGGCUCACCAAGGCGAUGAUACAUAGCCGACCUGAGAGGGUGAUCGGCCACAUUGGGACUGAGACACGGCCCAAACUCAUACGGGAGGCAGCAGUAGGGAAUCUUCGGCAAUAGACGAAAGUCUGAGCGAGCAACGCCGAGGGAGUGAAGAAGGUUGUCGGAUCGUAAAACUCUGUUGGUAGAGAAGAACGUUGGUGAGAGUGGAAAGCUCAUCAAGUGACGGUAACUACCCAGAAAGGGACGGCUAACUACGUG